rnacentral:rRNA from 1 species
CCUACGGGAGACAGCAGUGAGGAAUAUUGGUCAAUGGGCGCGAGCCUGAACCAGCCAAGUAGCGUGAAGGAUGACUGCCCUACGGGUUGUAAACUUCUUUUAUAAAGGAAUAAAGUGAGGCACGUGUGCCUUUUUGUAUGUACUUUAUGAAUAAGGAUCGGCUAACUCCGUGACAGCAGCCGCGGUAAUACGGAGGAUCCGAGCGUUAUCCGGAUUUAUUGGGUUUAAAGGGAGCGUAGAUGGGUUGUUAAGUCAGUUGUGAAAGUUUGCGGCUCAACCGUAAAAUUGAAAUGGAUACUGGCAGCCUUGAGUACAGUUGAGGUAGACGUAAGUCGUGUUGUAGCGUUGAA